UACGGAGGGUGCGAGCGUUGUCCGGAAUCACUGGGCGUAAAGGGCGCGUAGGCGGCGCGGUAAGCGUGCGGUGAAAGUCCGGGGCUCAACCCCGGAUCGGCCGUGCGGACUGCCGGGCUGGAGCACUGUAGGGGCGGGUGGAACUCCGGGUGUAGCGGUGGAAUGCGUAGAGAUCCGGAAGAACACCGGUGGCGAAGGCGGGUUGCUGGGUUGACACUGACGCUGAAGCGCGAAAGCUAGGGGAGCGAACGGG
rnacentral:rRNA from 1 species